GCCGGUGUGGUGGAAUGGCAGACACGCUUGACUCAAAAUCAAGUUCUCGCGAGGGAGUGGAGGUUCGAGUCCUCUCACCGGCA
rnacentral:tRNA from 1 species